CCUACGGGAGGCAGCAGUGAGGAAUAUUGGUCAAUGGACGAGAGUCUGAACCAGCGAAGCAGCGUGAAGGAUGACUGUCCUAUGGGUUGUAAACUUCUUUUAUAUGGGAAUAAAAUGUUCCAAGUGAGGGAUUUUGUAUGUACCAUAUGAAUAAGGAUCGGCUAACUCCGUGCCAGCAGCCGCGGUAAUACGGAGGGUCCGAGCGUUAUCCGGAUUUUAUGGGUUUAAAGGGAGCGUAGGUGGAUUGUUCAGUCCGAUGUGAAAGUUUGCGGCUCAACCGUAAGAUUGCAGUUGAAACUGGCAGUCUUGAGUAAAGUAGAGGUGGGCGGAAUUCGUGGUGUAGCGGUGAAAUGCUUAGAUAUCACGAAGAACUCCGAUUGCGAAGGCAGCUCACUGGACUGCAACUGACACUGAGGCUCGAAAGUGUGGGUAUCAAACAGGAUUAGAUACCCUUGUAGUC
rnacentral:rRNA from 1 species